rnacentral:rRNA from 1 species
CCGUAAACGAUGAGUGCUAGGUGUUAGGGGUUUCGAUACCCUUGGUGCCGAAGUUAACACAUUAAGCACUCCGCCUGGGGAGUACGGUCGCAAGACUGAAACUCAAAGGAAUUGACGGGGACCCGCACAAGCAGUGGAGUAUGUGGUUUAAUUCGAAGCAACGCGAAGAACCUUACCAGGUCUUGACAUCCCUCUGAUCGAUGCAGAGAUGUAUCUUUCCUUCGGGACAGUGGAGACAGGUGGUGCAUGGUUGUCGUCAGCUCGUGUCGUGAGAUGUUGGGUUAAGUCCCGCAACGAGCGCAACCCUUAUACUUUAGUUGCCAGCACUUCGGGUGGGCACUCUAGAUAGACUGCCGGUGACAAACCGGAGGAAGGUGGGGAUGACGUCAAAUCAUCAUGCCCCUUAUGACCUGGGCUACACACGUACUACAAUGGCCGGUACAACGGGCUGCGAAAUCGCGAGAUGGAGCCAAUCCCAACAAAGCCGGUCUCAGUUCGGAUUGCAGGCUGCAACUCGCCUGCAUGAAGUCGGAA